rnacentral:rRNA from 1 species
AUGAACGCUAGCGACAGGCUUAACACAUGCAAGUCGAGGGGCAGCGGGGGUAGCAAUACCCGCCGGCGACCGGCGCACGGGUGAGUAACGCGUAUGCAACUUACCUAUCAGAGGGGGAUAACCCGGCGAAAGUCGGACUAAUACCGCAUGAAGCAGGGGCCCCGCAUGGGGAUAUUUGCUAAAGAUUCAUCGCUGAUAGAUAGGCAUGCGUUCCAUUAGGCAGUUGGCGGGGUAACGGCCCACCAAACCGACGAUGGAUAGGGGUUCUGAGAGGAAGGUCCCCCACAUUGGUACUGAGACACGGACCAAACUCCUACGGGAGGCAGCAGUGAGGAAUAUUGGUCAAUGGGCGUAAGCCUGAACCAGCCAAGUCGCGUGAGGGAUGAAGGUUCUAUGGAUCGUAAACCUCUUUUAUAAGGGAAUAAAGUGCGGGACGUGUCCCGUUUUGUAUGUACCUUAUGAAUAAGGAUCGGCUAACUCCGUGCCAGCAGCCGCGGUAAUACGGAGGAUCCGAGCGUUAUCCGGAUUUAUUGGGUUUAAAGGGUGCGUAGGCGGCCUUUUAAGUCAGCGGUGAAAGUCUGUGGCUCAACCAUAGAAUUGCCGUUGAAACUGGGAGGCUUGAGUAUGUUUGAGGCAGGCGGAAUGCGUGGUGUAGCGGUGAAAUGCAUAGAUAUCACGCAGAACCCCGAUUGCGAAGGCAGCCUGCCAAGCCAUGACUGACGCUGAUGCACGAAAGCGUGGGGAUCAAACAGGAUUAGAUACCCUGGUAGUCCACGCAGUAAACGAUGAUCACUAGCUGUUUGCGAUACAGUGUAAGCGGCACAGCGAAAGCGUUAAGUGAUCCACCUGGGGAGUACGCCGGCAACGGUGAAACUCAAAGGAAUUGACGGGGGCCCGCACAAGCGGAGGAACAUGUGGUUUAAUUCGAUGAUACGCGAGGAACCUUACCCGGGUUUGAACGCAUUCGGACCGAGGUGGAAACACCUUUUCUAGCAAUAGCCGUUUGCGAGGUGCUGCAUGGUUGUCGUCAGCUCGUGCCGUGAGGUGUCGGCUUAAGUGCCAUAACGAGCGCAACCCUUGCCACUAGUUACUAACAGGUAAAGCUGAGGACUCUGGUGGGACUGCCAGCGUAAGCUGCGAGGAAGGCGGGGAUGACGUCAAAUCAGCACGGCCCUUACAUCCGGGGCGACACACGUGUUACAAUGGCGUGGACAAAGGGAAGCCACCUGGCGACAGGGAGCGAAUCCCCAAACCACGUCUCAGUUCGGAUCGGAGUCUGCAACCCGACUCCGUGAAGCUGGAUUCGCUAGUAAUCGCGCAUCAGCCAUGGCGCGGUGAAUACGUUCCCGGGCCUUGUACACACCGCCCGUCAAGCCAUGGGAGCCGGGGGUACCUGAAGUCCGUAACCGAAAGGAUCGGCCUAGGGUAAAACUGGUGACUGGGGCU